GUUGAGGUCUAUCCCGAUGGGGCUUUUCCUAUAGACCCACAUCGUUGGAAACGCCUCAUAGAGUAACUAUGUGGUUUUGCUUUACUCACAGAACUAUUUGUUGGAUCUGUGGGAAGGAACUACAAGACAGAA
ensembl:snoRNA SNORA18 small nucleolar RNA SNORA18